rnacentral:rRNA from 1 species
CCAAUAGCGUAUAUUAAAGUUGUUGCAGUUAAAAAGCUCGUAGUUGAAUUUCGGGAUUGGCGUGUCGGUCGUGCCUUACGGGGUAUGAACUGGCGUCGUCGAUUUCUCACCUUCUGGAGAAUCACGAUGCCCUUAAUUGGGUGUCGUGUGGAACCAGGACCUUUACCUUGAAAAAAUUAGAGUGUUUAAAGCAGGCAUUUUUGCUCGAAUACAUUAGCAUGGAAUAAUAAAAUAGGACGGUUUGGUUCUAUUUUGUUGGUUUCUAGGAUCACCGUAAUGAUUAAUAGGGAUAGUUGGGGGCAUUAGUAUUCAAUUGUCAGAGGUGAAAUUCUUGGAUCUAUUGAAGACUAAAUACUGCGAAAGCAUUUGCCAAGGAUGUUUUCAUUAAUCAAGAACGAAAGUUAGGGGAUCGAAGACGAUCAGAUACCGUCGUAGUCUUAACCAUAAACUAUGCCGACUAGGAAUCAGACGAUAUUAAUUUUUUAAUGACUCGUUUGGCACCUUACG